UCCCUGGUGGCUCAGACGGUAAAAGUGUCUGUUUGCAAUGCGGGAGAACCAGGUUCGAUCCCUGGGUUGGGAA
rfam:Ovis aries breed Texel chromosome 3, whole genome shotgun sequence.